rnacentral:rRNA from 1 species
UACAGGGGGGGCAAGCGUUGUUCGGAAUUACUGGGCGUAAAGGGCUCGUAGGCGGCCAACUAAGUCAGACGUGAAAUCCCUCGGCUUAACCGGGGAACUGCGUCUGAUACUGGAUGGCUCGAGUUUGGGAGAGGGAUGCGGAAUUCCAGGUGUAGCGGUGAAAUGCGUAGAUAUCUGGAGGAACACCGGUGGCGAAGGCGGCAUCCUGGACCAACACUGACGCUGAUGAGCGAAAGCCAGGGGAGCAAACGGG